CCUACGGUGGCAGCAGUCGAGAAUCAUUCACAAUGGGGGAAACCCUGAUGGUGCGACGCCGCGUGGGGGAAUGAAGGUCUUCGGAUUGUAAACCCCUGUCAUGUGGGAGCAAAUUAAAAAGAUAGUACCACAAGAGGAAGAGACGGCUAACUCUGUGCCAGCAGCCGCGGUAAUACAGAGGUCUCAAGCGUUGUUCGGAAUCACUGGGCGUAAAGGGUGCGUAGGUGGUUUCGUAAGUCGGGGGUGAAAGGCGGAGGCUCAACCCGCGGACGGCACAUGAUACUGCGAGGCUAGAGAAAUGUAGGGGGAACCGGAAUGCACGGUGUAGCAGUGAAAUGCGUAGAGAUCG
rnacentral:rRNA from 1 species